rnacentral:rRNA from 1 species
UACGUAGGGGGCAAGCGUUGUCCGGAUUUAUUGGGCGUAAAGAGCGUGUAGGCGGCCAGGUAGGUCAGCUGUGAAAACUCGAGGCUCACCUCGAGACGCCGGUUGAAACCAUCUGGCUAGAGUCCGGAAGAGGAGAGUGGAAUUCCUGGUGUAGCGGUGAAAUGCGCAGAUAUCAGGAAGAACACCCGUGGCUAAGGCGGCUCUCUAGUACGGUACUGACGCUGAGACGCGAAAGCGUGGGGAGCGAACAGG